rnacentral:rRNA from 1 species
UACAGGGGGGGCAAGCGUUGUUCGGAAUUACUGGGCGUAAAGGGCUCGUAGGCGGCCAACUAAGUCACACGUGAAAUCCCCAGGCUUAACCUGGGAACUGCGUGUGAUACUGGAUGGCUUGAAUUCGGGAGAGGGAUGCAGAAUUCCAGGUGUAGCGGUGAAAUGCGUAGAUAUCAUGAGGAAUACCAGAGGCGAAGGCGGCUACCUGGACAAUUGCUGACGCUCAGGCACGAAAGCGUGGGGAGCAAAAGGG